rnacentral:misc_RNA from 1 species
AAGGGGCUGAAGCGAGCUGGUGCUGCUGGCACUCGCGCUGGUUUUUCACUUUGACUUUGUUGAAUUCUUCGCUUAUUUUGUUUAUUUGGGUAUUAAGCGUAUUGCGCAGUUAUAGUUUUGUUCAUUCAAUAUGCUUAGAUGAUCUGAAUUUGGAUAUGACUGAUUUAGAUUAUAUUGCCAUUAACCCUUAUUGUGCAUUUGAGGAAAUUUCUGCAUAUUGAGUUGAAUUCACAACUGCUUGAAAUUUCAUUUUUUUUUUCUUUUAAAUCAUUAAUCUUGUUGAAUGAUCUUAAAGAUACCUCUAAUCUAGCAAACAUCAAUGAAUAUCAGUAAUAGCUUCGGUAUAACAUUGUGGGGAAGUACUCUGUUGGAAAAUUUCUCUGUUUUGUUGAAGAUAGAAAGCAAAUAUCUAUAUGCUUCUUUUUUGUGAUUGCUAUAUCUGUGUAUUUAAUUGCUUUUUCCUUGUGAGUACUUUAUGCCUUUGUGGGACACAAAAGUGUUUAUGAGUUUCUGAAGCAAAUAUUAUAGGUUGGUGCUUGUCUUUAGUGGGUUACAUCUCAUUGUACUUAAUCUGUAAGCUUUUGCUUCCUUCUUGAAAUUAACAAGAACUCCAUUAUUAAUUAGAAUAUUUGUGUAGUGAGCUUUCAGUUAAGGUAAAUGUCACUGGAUUAUGCAUGAUUCUUUAUUUAAUAUAACUGGGCUAUUUUUCCUAAAUAAUGUAGGAGUUGGGGGUUAUACUUACUUAUUGGAGCCACUAUGGUGGGCUGGCA